UCACAGGUGUAAAACAUGUGACUAUGCCAAU
rnacentral:piRNA from 1 species